CCACACCGACACUCUUCCCCUUCGCACCCAGGAGCGGAGAAACCAAACCAUUAAACCCCCUCUCUUUCUCUCUCCUCUUUUUCUCUCUCUCACUCACUAUAAACACAUAAUAUUACAAUCCCCUCCGAUUCAACUGCUAAAUCUGCGGUACCGAUCACCCACGAUCUUCCGCCAAGCUUCUUUCUCUCUACUAAAUCACUACUUUUGUAUCUCCGCCAACGUCACCUUUUAGCGCCGCCGUGGGCGCUGUUUCCGAUCAUUUGAUGGACGCUUCAAACAAUUACCUAAACGAAUAUCAACAUACUCAUAGCUUUGCUGGUUCUCAGAGAGACGUCACUUACAGGUGUGUGCAAUUUCACUUUCAUCAGAUCAGUUGUUGUCAAUGAUAUCAUUAAAUUUUUUUUGUCAAAUCAUAAUUCAUGAAAAAAAAUUGAUUUUUGUUUUAGUAUAUAUAAUACUGAUUUGGGUUUAUGUUUGUAUUUUGUGUUCUGUUUAAAGCAAAUAUAGAUUAAACAUAGUGGACUGUUGUUGUUUUUCUUUUUCCGGUUGAUUUGUUGGUCUAGGGUCCUGUUUGGGAGCAUGAAUUAGUGAGCUCAUGGUUGAAUUUUAAUUACUCAGAAGAGUUAAUCACGAACUUUGGUAACAUGAAUUUUCAACUGUUAUGACAGUGAUAGGGAAUGCUAAAAUAUGGAGGCUAAGCAUCCAAACUUUGUACAAUGAUAUGAAUAUAUAACAUUCGAUGAAGGACAAGUUCUGCAAGGAUUUAGAAAAGGGUAAGGGGGAAGAAAGAAGGGAAAAAUAGGAGAAGAAAAGCUGCCGGAAGGCCACAGUGGCAUAAAGUCUCACAUCAAAUCAAAACUAAUUUUCCGUCCGUUUCAAAAUAUGAGAUUACUUUUCUUUGUAUUUUUACAAAGGCAAGUGAUCUUAUAUAUCAAGUGUAGGCAUGAAAAGUCCCGUAGGAAUUGUUCUCUAUAAUUUCUGCUUGGAAAGAAUUCCAUCCGAAGAAAUUAUUAUAACUUUAUCUGGUAUUAUUUUUAACUUUAAUUUCUCUCAAUAAAUUCCAUUACUAAAUAUUUCUAUUUAACGAAAUGAGUUUAGAAAACUGAUUAAAUAUAACAACAGAAAGUGGUGAAGAAUCACAUUGAUGUAAUUGAGUUUUAUGAAAGUACCCGAUAGAAAAAUAAACACUAUCAAGAUGAAGGGUGAAGAACUGAGAUCUUAAAAGACGGAGGGAAAUCGGCAUGAAUUAUACGAAAUGCAGAGGAUAUCAUUUCUGUCUUUGGCUUUGAUGGUCAACUAUCUUCAGAUUCCAUUAUCCAUUUAUUUUUUUAAGCACACAGUACAUAAGAUGGUUUAGGAUAUUUUCUCCAUAUUAACUUACCAAGAUUAAAUAUAUGUAGGAUGCCAAAUUUUGUCAUUUUUAGAAAUUAAAGAUUGUUUAAUGGAAAGAACUUUGCAAGAGUUAAAGAAAUGAAAAAAAGUUGUGUCAGGCCCUUGUUGAAUUUAGAGAGAAUAAGCGAGGAAGGAGAAGAACUCAGUUAUUUGUUACUGAAUUCGUGAGACUGAGAGAUAGAUAGAGAGAGAAAGCUUAACAAGUUAUUCCCAUUCAUAAAAUGCAUAAUAUUCAAAAGCUUGGAAGUUACUCCACCCAUUACACACAUAUAUAUAGCUAAUGAAAUGCUGAAAAGUGUAGAUACUUCUAACUUACACCACUUCCUUAUCCUACACACAUGCUAACUAACCACCCAUGUGCAUAUAAAAUAUCUAAUUUUAGAAUAUACUAACUACUCUAGAAUAUACUAACUUAUUCUUUCUUUCCCAAUUUACCCCUGGCCUGACAUUCCCUCCUCCUUUAGAACAUUCAUGUCCUCGUGAAUGAAUUCUGAGUUUGUUCCCUCUUCAAAUUUUCCGGAAGCUGUGUUAUCCUUUCCUUUUUUGUAUGUGAUAAUGUAAUCAUAUCCCAAAAGCUUGCUCAUCCAUCUUUGUUGCAGGCAUGUAACUACCUUCUGUUCCAAAAAGUACUUCCAGGACUUGUGAUCUCUUAAUAGCUUCAACUACAGCCAUCAGUUCCUACUCAUAGGUUGAGUAAGUAUGAGCUUUAGAACCCAAAAGCGGGACUGCCUUCUUGCAUUAGAAUGGCCUCAAUCCCUGUUCUCGAUGCAUCAGUCUCAAUUUCGAAGACCUCGGUGAAGUCUUGUAAUGCCAAAACUAGAGAAGUAGUGAGAGCUUUUUAAAGAGUUGUGAAAGCAAGUUGAGCUUUUGGAUUCCACCCAAAUUUUCCUUUUUGUAGCAGAGAAGUCGGUGGUUUAGCUAGGAUUCCAUAUCCCUUUAUGAAUUUUCUAUAGUAUCCUGUUAGUCCAAGAAAACCCCUUAACUACUUGAUGGUUCUUGGUUCAGGCCAAUCCAGUACACUUGCUCCCUUUAGCAAAUAACUGAUUGUCCCUUAGAAUCUGAAAUACCUCUUGAAGAUGUUUAUAUUGUCCAUCCAAAUCCUUGUAGUAGAUUAGGAUGUUAUCAAAAAAUAUCAAAACACUUUUCCUGUUCAUCAAAUUUUGGAAUGUGGCAGGGACAUUAGUUAACCCAAAUGGCAUGAUUGUGAAUUCGAAUAGCCCUUGAUGUGUCCUAAAUGCCGUCUUUUCAAUGUCCUCUUUCUACAUUCUGACUUGGUGAUACCCAGCCCUUAAGUCCAGCUUAGUAAACUAUUUAUGUAACACAACAAACCUCAAAAUAAUAAAAACAAAUCUCCAAAAAUUUACACAAUAAUCAAAACCUAAAGUCAUAUCAACCUAUUAGGUCAAAUGUAGUUAUCUUCACACGAAACCUUAAAUCGUUCUUGCAAACUUGCCGUAGGAAAAACACAACAUGAGCCAAAUGUCCAGUAUGGAUAAAGAUAUACAAAAGAUGCAUAACUGAAAUACGGAAUUAAUUGACAAAAUACCGAACAAGGCCUCAAGCAUAAAUACCGACGAUAAUAUAAUAUCCAAAGUCCAAAAAAAAUAUAUCUGAAUCAACAAAAUUAACGAAAAAAACAGAAGGCUGAAUCAAAGUGGCUAAGUGGUUAUUUCAUACUGAGCUCAAAACAAAACAGAAAUAUACCUUGCCACACAUGCAAGUCAAAAUAAUGCCACAUUUACAAAAAUCAUACAUUGGACCGCGAAUCCAAAUGCAUGCAAAUCGGAAGCUGUGUCUAGCACAAACAUUACCAAUUCGUAAAUAGAACAAAAACUAGGGUCGAUGAUGCAGGACAAAUUUAAGAUGAAGAAUUAACGAAAAAUAAAUUAGGAUCUAAACUCCACGUUUAGACCACUAAGAUCUCUGAAGUGUAUCAACUCCACUUAUCAACACCAAGAUGGAUAAAAUACCUCUACGGUAUGAACAAAAUAAAAAACUUCAAUAUCAAUAUUCUGUAGUCUAAAUGACUUGUGGGGAUUACAUCACUAUUUAAAGAGACUCAAAAUCCUAAUAUUACUUGGGAAAUAAUAAAAGUACUAAACGACUAAAAUACCCUUUUUAAUAAUUUCUAAUCACUAAUUAAUGUCCUAAAUCUCCACUAAUAAAUAAAAUACAUAAAUCACAUCAACUACUUUUAUAUUAAACAUAAUAAAAACUCCAAAUAAUAAAUAUAACAAAUCUCUUCUUUGUUAUUGACUUGGAGUCCCCAUCAGUCGACCAAUACGCAUCCUGAACAAACAUAUCAAAUGGUCAAAGCUCAUACUCCGAGCAAACAUACAAAAGGAUACGCCGUUGAUUGAUCACACCGCCAUAGAAAGUGUCAUGCCUCGGUGCUAAGAGUACAUGUCUGUGGUACCCCUACAGGUGGUUAUAGCUCAGGUAUACCCCAACACUUAUCCUACAAAGAUAUAAUGUCACAACACAUGCGACAUGAUACCAAAAAAAGGGUUCUAAACGUAUAUGUUGAACCAAAUCAAAUCAUCGACAAAAUACCUCCAAAGUAAUGUAACAUGUACCGUUCUGCAAAUAUCAAUAAAGUUCUAUGCAUGAAGAACAAAUUCAAAAGAUUACAAAAAAUGAAGUUCAGAACAUCUAGACCAAACCAAAGCAAAAUAAGGAUUUGAUUAGGCAAAACUAAUAAUUUAACCACUAUAGUUGGCAAGUUUUACUUAAUAUACUACUGAACUUUUAAUUUUUUAAAUUAAUCCAUUGAACUAAUUAUUAUUUUAAAAUUAGGUCAUUCUGUGAACUCUUGAGUGACGACUGUUAAAUUUUUUCCUACGUGUACGUUAAAAAGAAAAGAAAAAAAAGAGAAAAUGACAUGGCCUAUUCUUAGUUUCUUUCUCUCUUCUCUCCUCUGUCUCUCCCUUCUUCAAGCAUACUUUUGUCUUUGAGUCCUUCAGACCUAAAAUUUGGACAGAAAAAAAUAAUGUUACGCUUAACCAUCUUCUUCCCUUGCCGUCUCCGCCACCAUCUUCUUCCUCCACCGCCACCAUCUUCUUCCAUUGCCACCACUUCCACCAUCUUCUUCCUCUGCCUCAACCACCACCAUCUUCCCGCACCGUCACCACCGCGUCAACCACCGCUUCAUCCUCCUCUACUAACAAUCAUCCCAUCCCCCUCUACAUAUGUCUGCAUAUCCUUCUCUCUCUAUAUAUAAAUAUAUGUGUGUUCAUACCUCUCUUGUGCGUUCGUAUUUGACUCGGCGAGGGCACAAAUUGAUUGCAAAAAUUAGUUGAAAUCAACUUCAUAUUUGGAUUAGCUUCAGAGAAGGUAUAAUUUUAAAAACUAAUUUGACAGAAUAAGGGCAAGGGCAAGAGACCCAGGUGCAAAAAAUUGUAGCAUUCCUUUCAUGGAAGAAACAAAAAUUGUACCAACGUUUGUGUGUUUUACAGAUCUUGUAGCAACAAUAUACAUUAUUAAUCCCAAAUUGUUUUGUUCAAGUGGGUACAUGAUAUUCCUUUCUCUCUCCUCUUAUUUCUCCACACCUCUACAGUACCAAACCAUCCUCCCCAGAUCUCUUCCCACACCCCAAUCUCUCACAUGGACUGAAGAUUCCCAAACUCUAAACCUCCAGAAAACGAAGAAGGGACAUACCAAAAUACCCUCUCCUUACAAUUACACCACCUAAAUUCUCUCACCUCCUUCAAUAAUGCCAACGCCACCCUAGGCGCCUCCAUCGCGACGCCGUCAGAGCCAAAACCCUCUCCGCCAUCGUCGCCGUCAAAACCAACGCCACCGCUGCGCGCGGCGGCUGCAAAUGAGGUAGACACACCAUGAUGGUAAGUUGCAGAGAUUUGUAGAGUAGACAAAACAAAUAUAUAUAUAUAUAUAUAUAUAUAUAGACACACACAAAUAGAUAUUGAGAUAGAAGGAAAGUUUAAUAUGUUUCCUUAUUUGCUUUUGAGACUCCCCUAUUUCUGAUGUAGAAAAUCUCAUUCAGCUCGUAUGUUUGAAGAAGGGAGAGGCAGAGGAGAGGAGAGAGAAAGAAAGUAAGAAUAGGCCAUGCCAUUUUUUUCUUUUUCAUGUGUACACGUAGGAAAAGAUUUAACAGUGGUGAGCCAGAGUUAACAGAAUGACCCAAUUUUAAAAUAAUAAUUAGUUCAAUGAGGUAAUUUGAAAAAUUAAAAGUUCAGUAAUAUAUUAAGUAAAACUUGUCAACUACAGUGGUUAAAUCAUUAGUUUUGUGAUUUGAUUAGAAAUGAAACAAUUAAGCGAGUGGCCAAAUUCCGAACGAUUAGCUGUACAAACAAAUCAACAUAAUGAUAGUAUCGCUGAAGAAAUAUGAAAUAUGUUCAAAUUAUAAUAGAAGGAAAAGAGUUCAAAUUACAGAAUAAAGUUAAUGUAUCAAAUAUUAAACUUCUAUUCAAGAGUGCCAAUAGAAAUAUAGGAAAAAUAUAACGAAUGACGAGAUAUCACGAGAUAUAUAGAAUAUAGCAUAAUCAAAGGAAUGAAGUACGAAAUCCAUACCCUCAAAUGCUAACUAUAUCAAAUACGAAAUGUUAUUCACCACCUAAAUAUAUUCACCUCGAAUUAUUUAUAAUCUAAACUAAUAAUUUCAUAAUAAUUUGUAAUCCAUUCAAGGUGCCUUUAUUUAUCGCCUUAGAUCACUAUUAAUACUCCAAAACUUAAAAAUCAAUGACUAAACUUAAGAAAUCUUAAAAUCCUAAUAUGACAAUUUAUUCUUAAGAAUUCAGUCUAUUGUAUAUCACUCAUAUAAAUCUGAUUUUAUAAUAAUUUUUCAAUUUAAUUAAUUUUAACAGAAAUUAGACUUCAAAUACUCCAAUUUAACCUCAAGAAUCACCCAAAUUGGAUUUAAAAUCAAGUCAUACAAUUUUAAAAAUUAAAACCCACUGUUAAAAAUCUUCUUGAAAAAUCCCCAGCCCCUUCUUAAAAUUCAUAACAAAUCAUACGUUAAUCUUUAACAGCUCAAAAUUGGUAAAUAUAUUCUCAGCUUAUAUAUGUAUAACAUAUCUAAAAAUUAUAACGAUCCAACAGUCGGAUUAGGAGAUAUAACACAUGCAAUAUACCUUAAAAUAUAAAAAUUGAUUCAGAUUUUAACGUUUACAUUCAAUCAAAUUAUAUUUCUUAAUAUAAAUUUAUCUUCUCUUUCUGAUUAUCAUGAUAUCUAAUUCGAUGUCUAUAUUUUAUUAAAAACAAUCUCUAAUUUUAAAACUCUCAUAACUAAACUUAAAAUCAAAAUAUAAAAUAAUAUUUACUUUCCUUGUUCGUUUUUCUUCAAUACAUAGAAGUAAAGAAUCAGACUUUCGGGUCUUCUAGAGUAUUCAAAAUCUCUUCAUGUUUUCAUGAAAAUUGUAGCUCUCGAAAAGAUGCACAAAUUAGGCUCAAGAAUCACUCAGAGUUAAUGUCUGAGUUACGAAUUUUCAAAAUUAGGGUUGAAAAUAGUGACGGGAAUCAGGAAAGGUUGCGGUUUUCAGCAAUUUAAGAUAGGAAGAUGAUGUCAAAUAACUUCUCUUCCUUCACAAUUUUAGAGGACGAAAAACUGAAGAAAUAGACUUUGGAUCCACUUAAUUCUGACAUCGGAUGAAUUAAUUAUGAUUUUUCUAAUGGACUGCAUUGCGUACAAGUAUUCUACUCGGGAAUUCAACUAAUCAAAUUAGAAUAUGAUUAAGGUUGCAUUUCUACUCAAGUAUAACAAGGAAACAAUAGAAGCUACCAAAACCCUAAUGAACUCUUUAAUUUUAAUAAAAUCAAUUAUUAAAUUAUCUACUAAAAGAAUUUAAUUUUCCAAACGAAACAAGGAAGAAAGAAAAAAUUAGUAACUUACCUUUUCCAAUUCAAUCGUGCUUUUAGGAAAAAUAAAAUUAAUAUUUAAUUAUUAACAAAAAUUCGGGUUAUUACAAUUUAGCUUCUUGUAAUUCAUCUAUUAGCUCAUCAAUGAGGGGAAUAUGGUAUUUAUUUUUGAUAGUCAGAGAGUUGAGGUGUCUGUAAUCAACACAAAAUCUCCAACUGUCAUCCUUUUUCUUAAUUAGGAGCAAUGGAGAAGCAUAUGGACUCUGGCUUGGUCUUAUGAUUCCUGUGUGUAAUAUUUCCUGCACUAGUCUUGCACUAGUCUCUCUAUUUCAUUUUUCUGGUCAUAAAAGCAUUUGUAGGGUCUGAUGGAGAAAGGUGAAGAGUUGGCUUUAAGAGGAAUCUUAUGGUCCAGAGAUCUUUUUGGCGGCAUACCUUGAGAUUCUUGAAAAAUAUUUGAGUAUUCUUCUAGAAAGGACUGUAUUUUUGGGUCUGUAGUGGUAGAGUUUAAGGAAUAACUAGUGGAGUUGGUUUGUGGUGGCUGUACAAUCACUAGAACCCAUGUUCUUCCUCAUUAAUAUGCUGGACCAGACCUUCUAGUGUGAUCAUUUUCAGUUCUAGGCAUGUAUUUUUAUUCUGCCCUUGUAACUGUUCCAUUUCCCCUACAUAAUUGAACGGUAAAGUUAGCUUCUCAUAGUCAAAGGUGGUUGGCCCUAGCUGUUUCAACCACUGAACUCCUAAUCAGUAUUCUAAAAGUCGCUAGUCGGUCCAAUGUCGGUUGGCUACCGACUAGCGACUAGGGGAUUAAUCGGCUAGUCGGAUUUUCAAUUUUUAAAAAUAUAUAUAUAUUCUCCUUCCUCCUUCAUAAGUUUUGAAUAAGUAGAAUAACAUAAGUAAUACAAAUCAUCAAAUAAUUUAAUAAUUUAAUUUAUAACUGAAGUUGAAAAAAUUUAAAAUUUAAAAUGAAAUAUUACAAUUAACUAAAAAAAUUAACUAAUUUAAUUUAUCCAACCUUUUCUUUAAUGCCCACUAAGGAACUAAUUAACUAAAACAAAAAAAAUAUCAGUAUUUGUAUUUGUAAACUGUUAAGCCUUAUAAGCCUUAUAUCAGCAUGCCUUAUAAGCCUUAUAUCAGUCGUCGAAGAAGGAGAGCCGAAAAAGAACUACCUGAGUAGCAGUCGGCGUUGUCGAAGAAGGAGAGCCGGAAAAGAACUACCUGACUAGCAGUCGGCGUUGUCGAAGAAGGCGAGCAGGCGUCGUCGUCGUCGAAACUGUUUCAGGCAAGAAGAAGGAGUCGGCGAGCAGCAGUAACGUCGUCGGUCGAAGGAAGAAGAAGCAGUAGCGUCGUCGUCGGUCAGGCGAGAAGAAGGAGUCGGCGUCGUCGGUCGAAGGAAGAAGAAGAAGAAGAAGCAGUAGCGUCGUCGUCGGUCAGGCGAGAAGGAGUUGGCGUCGUCGGUCAGGCGAGAAGAAGCAGUAGUGUCGUCGUUUUGUUUUUUACCCUGAUAUGCUCUGAUUUGUUCCGAUUUACCCCGACUUUACCGACUAGUCGCCAACUAGAUCCCGACUAAGUCGGCCAUCGACUAAAUCAACUGACUAGGGCCUGGUCGACUCGGCGAACCUCCGACCCCGACCUAGUCGGCCGACUAGGCCAACUUUUAGAACACUGCUCCUAAUACCAUGUCACAUCCUCCCAGUGGUAGUAUUCUCACGACAUCCUUAAAAAAAAUUCUCCCAUUUUCCAUCUAAGCUCUGAACAUUGUUGGCUGCCACGGAGUUGACUACCAUUUGCCACAGAAACCAUCAUGAGCGAGGUGGGUUCUAGAGCACAUUUGAGCCUCUGUGCUGUUCUAGGAUCCAACAAAUUAUGGGUACUGCCCCCUUUAAUGAGUAUUGAUAUAGACUUUUUUUCCCAUAUAACUAGUCAUUUUCAUGGUUUGGGAACUACCUUGGCCUUCAAGAUCAUUAAGAGAUACUUCAAUAUUCUCUUUGGUUGGUAAAUUUUCAGAAAGGUCACAGGCUGGUUCCUCAUCAUAUUGGGGAGGUCCAGAGUAUUCCACAAACUCUUGAGAGUCCUUACAGUUCUGGAAAUCCUCACAAGUGAUCAUGAAAUUUUGAGGAGCUUUGCAUUGGUGUCCCAUGGCGUACUUCUCAUCACAAUAAAAAUAUAGACCCCUGGCUCUUCUCUCAUCUCUUGAGCUGCAGUAAUAGGUUUAGGCUUGUUAAAGUCAUUUAUAUGAUAGGUGAGCAUAGGAGUUUUGGUGGUUGGUGGUGCAGGGAGUUCCUUUUUGAAGCUGAGCUAAGAGUUGGUGUGGUUGGGCGGUGGUUUAGGAUAGUUGUGGGUGUUAGCAAGUUUAGGAAUAUGACUCUCAUAGAACUUGGCUUGUUUGUAGGCUUGGGAUAGGGUUUCUGGAUCAAGCAACUUUAUCAUUUUUUUGGUUUCAUCUUUCAGUACACCAACAAGGUUUUCCACAAAGAAGUCCUCAAUCAAGUGAGGCAACUUCUCAAGCAGUCUCCCCUUAUGCCCUUCAAAGUCAUCAUAGUAUACAUUCACAGUUCCUACUUGCUUCAAUAACUUGAAUUGUUCAUAUAUGUUUUCCACACCUGCCUCAGUGAACCUCACAGUGAAGUCAUUUGCAAACUCCCUCCAAGUAAGCCAUUCUUUGCCAUUGACAUAAGACUUGUACCAAUAUUUUAGAGAACCAUGGAGGUGUAUUACAGCUAUGGCAAUCCUCUUAUGAGAAUGAAUCCCAUAUAUGCCAAAAUAUUCCUCGCAAUCCUAUAUCCAGCUUUUAGCAUCAUCACCCUCAGUAAAUAAAGGGAACACCAAUUUAAGAUGUUUAAGUUCUCUCUCCUCUUCACCAUCAUCACCAUUCUGGUUCCUCCUAUUCCUUCAUUAAACAUCAUCUUCUUCAUCUUUCCUUACUUUUUCUUGCUCAGCAUGUCUAGGGUCGCUAAAACAACUCUUAUCCCUCUUUCUCGCCCCUUCCAUUACCCCCAAAAGGAUUUUCAAACCUGUCAUCAUUAUCUAGACUCCUGUCUCAACAGUUCAUUCAUACUUUCUAUGAAGUGGUCCAUUUUCUCAUCAAUGAGUUGUAAUUUCUCAUUGGUGUACUCUUUGUAGUUUCACAAAUCUUGCUGCAACAUUUGUGAAGGACCAACCAUAUUUAUGGAGAGUAGAGAGAAAAUGAGACAUAAUAAUUGUUAUUCCGAGUUUGAAAAUGAAUUCAAGCAAUACAAUACUACUUGAGUAAGAGUAAGUGAGUUUAAGUAGCUAUUUAAGUGAGAAAUGGACUUCCUCAGUGAAAUAAAUUGAGUAUCCUUGGCCGAACAAGUUUAGUAUUGGAAGGCUCUACGAUCGUAGACUGGAACAACUUAUAAGAGCCUACGAUCGUAGACCGGAACAAAUAAUAAGAUUCUACGAUCAUAGACUGGAACAACUUAUAGGACUCUACAAUCGUAGACUGAAACAACUUAUAGGACUCUACGAUUGUUGACCGGAACACUUAGAAGGUUCUACGAUUGAAACACUUUGUAUGACUCUACGAUUUAGGCCUCUAGGACUGAAAUAAUUUGUAAGACUCUACGAUUGAAACAGUUUGUAAGACUCUACGACUGAAACAUUGUUAGACUCUACGGCUAAAACAACUUAAUACGAAUCACCUAACACAAAUCAAAACAGAUCAAACAAAACUAAUUCACAGAAUUUGGAAAUUUUUUAACUGAUAGUGAAGAACAAGCAAAAUAUGAAUUAAAAUGUGUGGGUGAUGUUGUAAUUGAGUUUUCUGGAAUGGGCUAUUUGUAUGUGACAGGAACGAGUGAGAUGGAAGUGUUUACUACCUAAAACAAGUGAAUUAACACCUGAAUUUACUGAGUUGCAAGUUCACUGGAAAAACAGAGCCUCUGAGACCUAGCUUCUGUUGCUAUGGGGUAGAGAUCUGCAGCUGUUGCCGAUGAUUUUGUGUUGAUUCUGGGUAGUUAUUGAAGGAUGGAAGAAGGCAGAGAGAUAGAAUUCAGGUAGAGGUAUAGGAGUAGAAAUCAGAAGUUGAAGAUCGAGAAGAACAGAGGAUGUAGAGGAAAGAAGAUGAGUUUGGAUAGAACUUGAGCUCUUAACCAACUUAUCAGGCCCUUGUUGAAGCCUAACCAGAAUAUAAGAGAAAAAUAGAGAUAGAGAUAGAAAUAAGAGAGAAUUCAGAGAGAAUAAGGGAGGAAGAAGGAGAAGAACUCAGUUAUUUGUUACUGAAUUCGUGAGACAGAGAUAGAGAGAGAAAAAAAGCUUAACAAACUAUUCCCAUUCAUAAAAUGCAUAAUAUUCAAAAGCUUUGAAGUUACUCCACUCAUUACACGCAUAUGUAUAGCUGCUGAAAUGCUGAAAAGUGUAUUACUCCUAAGCUACAUUACUUCCUUAUCCUACACACAUGCUAACUAACCACCCAUGUGCUUACAUGUGCAUACAAAAUAUCUAAUUCUAGAAUAUACUAACUACUCUAGAAUAUACUAACUUAUUCUUUCUUUCCCGAUUUACCCCUGGCCUGACAAGUUACAUGGAGUAAUGAUAGGAUUUUAGCAAAAAGAGGGUUUUGUUUGGGGCGGGAGCCGGGUGCCAACUUGGACUGUAAUUGAGCAGAAGAAGUUCUUCUAAGCUAACCUCCCUUCUUAGUAGAAGAAGUAAGCAACUGCUUUUGGAAGCACAACUAAAUGGUCCUUUUUUUAAAUGGAACAUCAAGCUUAUGGUUCCCAGACCAAAAGAAAAGAAGGAAAGGUAGUAGAUCUUUGCUGGAAUCGUAACCCCUGCAUUCCGUGUCUAAAUUCUUUUUGUCAAGUGGUUUGUUAAGUUAUGUGGCCAGACAUGGAACUUCUGGAAAAAACGUCGAGCUUAAGGAACAUGUUGAAGAAGAAACAGAGGAAGAUGUAGUGAAAUCUGAAGCAGAGUAAUUAACUUAAGAAUCAAUAUAAAAGGAUGCUAAAUGGUUUGAAGUUCUGUCUUGGAUCAGACAGAACUUGUCUAUGAAUUAUGAAAUGAAAACUCAACACAUGUGAGUUUGUUAUUCUCGACGACUUGCAUAAUAUAAUUGGAGAUUUAUUCUUAUCUAAGUCCUUCUGAAGAUCACUAUCCUGACAAUGCAACUCGGUCCAGCAUCAGUGGAUGUCCCCUGUUAACAAUCGGAAGAAUGCUGAGAGCCAAAAAAUACUCGUCAUGGGUAAUGUAAUACAUUUAGAGACAUACUGGGUUUAAUUGAAGUAAGUUUAGAAAUGAGGAUUAAUCCAUGGAGUUUCAGUGUAGUUGAAUGAUCUCUGAGCUAUGCUUUGUGCUUAAUUCUCCGAAGGUUUAACUAUCCUUUGCGAAGGAGAAGUAUUCUUACAUGCGGGCUAUUGUCCCCCUUUCCAGAUUUCAACUAAUCAUUUUUUUUCUCCUCUUCUGCAUCUUCCUGUCUGCAGACUUUAUUUUUUGUCCUUCAUCAUCGAGUAACCUCCUUUUACAUGCACCCUGAAACAUCGUUGUGUUCCUUAAUAUGGUUGUAUUGUAUGUAUUAUGAUGUUUCCCUAGGAAUAUGGUGUGUUCUUAAGAUUGCAACUUGUCCUUUGUGGGUCUUUAAGGGUUAAGAGUUUGACAGCUUGCACUAACGACAAAGGCCUUUCAGCCUCUGUCUCUGCCAAUUUUAGGGAAAGAGAGAUGUCUAUGUCCUCUUUACAUGUUUUGAGAUACCCUUUUUCAGUAUCUUACUCAAUUCUCCUCUAUCCAGCUGACAGGUGAAUACCGUCUAUACUAGUCCCUUUCACCUAGC
rnacentral:lncRNA from 1 species